ACGCUGGCUUCGGUGGCGCAUGCGCUGCCAUUGAAAGGAUACAGAGGAGGUUGGCAUGGCCCCUGUGCCAGGAUGGCAUGCAAAUUUGUGCAGAAUUCUGUAUUUUU